UGCAAGUCUACUAAAAUACACUCAGCGGC
rnacentral:sRNA from 1 species